GCUGAGAUUGCUAUUGUAAUCAUUCUUCGGAUGUACACAGCAUUGAGGCAUGAGCACAAUUACAGUUAUUAGCAACAUGAAAACUAAUUUUGAUGGUAUACAGCAAAAUCUUGAUGUGAUAAUACUGGGAGGUGAAAAUGUACAACCAAAGAUAGUACAAUACCUUAUGAUUUAGACCUAGCUAUUCUACCUGUCUUGCCUAUGCUCUCUUUUCACCUGUUGCAUAAGACAGCUCUAUUGGCUCAAUAGAUUUUCCCGGCAUCUGAUAGUAAAUCAUAACUAACUCGUAUUUUCAAAGCACAGCACCAAGAAACUCUCAGUUGAUCUUAGGCUUGGCUCUUCUAGGCUUUAGCAAAAACCAAAGAACAAAGAAAACAACUAGGAAUGCAGGUAUUGUUGUCAUGUCAAACUCGACCCUAACAUUCCUCUGUCGGGUGCAAUGUAUUGGAUGGAGGCUGUCUAGAGUUGUAUCAACAUAAUUUACAAACCUGCAUAAGAGACAAGAUCUUUUUAGCAAGCAAAUUCAAAAAACACGUUUGUUGAGUUAAAAGGAAAGACACUUUGGCAUGACAAAUGAAAGUUGUUUAAUGCUUGCUAAGCAUUAUAGCUUCCACAUGUAGUAUUCUACCAUCUCAAAUUGGUUAGAUAUGUAAAUGCAACACUAACAAUAAGGAUGUCGUCAGGUAGUGAUGAGUGCAGCACAUCAGUGAUUGUCACUAUUUCAGUCACACAACAAAAGAAAGAUGCUAACCCUUUUACUGCAUCCUCUAAGGUAUGGAGAAGUCUCAAGGCAUCCACAUAACGCAGUUCCCCGCUGACAGUUGAAAUCUGCGAGGGGCCCAUAGCAGGAAAUAAAAUGGUUAGAGGGUUUCAUAAACAGGCUAAAUCAAAGACAACGAGGGCCAACAAGAUCAAACUAUUUCUGGAAAAUAUCAUUAAAUAAGGAACAAAUCAUUCCACAGAGCUCGGGAUGAUAGUGCACCAAGUGUUAUUUAUCUGGGGGAAAUAGAGCAAAAGGUAUUUGGCAAAAUAUUAGUGUAUAUACUAGUACUUAUUAAGGAUUAGUGAAAACUAUAAAGCACUUACUCUUCUCCACAAGCUGACAACAUAAUUGUAUUUGUUCACCAACUCACGCUCAUGGGUUUUGAAGAGUUUAAAAGUCUGUUCUGCUGUUCCAGAUUAAGUAUCCACAAGUGAAACUCUGAUAAAUGGGCAAUUACGAAGAACUUAUAUGUAAAGCAGCUGUUUCUGAUCGGUAAGAGCAUCAGCAACUAACUAAGGCAGAAAGUUUUUUAAAACUACUUGUCCUCUGUUCAAACCAACAAAAAAGAUCACUCAAUAUUUUUUGCACAAUUGACUUUGCAGAGAACAUACUACCCUCCCCAAACCCCACUAAGUGGGAUUAUACUGGGUUGUUGUUGUUGUUGUUGUUGUUGUUGUUGACUUUGCAGAGAACAUUGUAUUAUGCAGAAGAAGUGAUAAAACCUAUUAACACCGAAGGUCCUAUUCACCAUUCAAACAGAUAAAAUAUACAUCUUUUAUGCACUCUGUUGAAGACAAUUUGCAAAACCUUCUAGUGGAAUAUAUCCAAUGAAACUGCUCACAAAAACGACAAAUCGUGCAAUCAAAAUAAUCUUUUACUUGUACUCAUCAAAAUAGACCAUUAAUAAAGGAUACACGUCCGCUCCAUAACAAGACGAUGAACAGCCGAAUUGACCAAUUGAAUGGACUCUUCAAGAGCUGUCAAUACAUAGCUUCGAGCAACAGUGUCCGAAUGGAAUUGGGAGAUAUGCCAGCUUUGGGAAGUAAUGGAUAGAGGGUUGCAUCCAACUGACCAAAUCCAGUCCUGUUGAAAGUGUGAUGAGAAGAACAGAAGUAACUAGGAGAAACCAGAACUCAAAGUACCAGCUUUGUCUCAACGCAAAAUGUUAAACCAAACUCAAGUUAUCACUUCUGUUUCAAGGUAAAACAUUAGGUUAAAGCAUAAGUAACACAUAAAGAGUGUGAAGUACUCUCUUAUUAUCCAUAUUGCAUUCUCAUGAAUACAUUAUUUAAAAGGCGUCCCCAGAAAUAAAAAAGAUACAAUAUAACAGAAACUUUAAAUUAAUGAAAGUCACAUAUUGCAUUCUCACUACCACAAGAAAUUAUUUGUCAAACAAGAAGAAAAAAUGGGUGCAAAGGAAGAAGUGUGUGAAAUACUCAAGAAGAUAGCAAGCCCUCAGAAUUAGUUAAUUUGCGUGCAAAAAUUAUAAACCUGUGACAGGUUACAAGUCUGGAGACACUUAUCAAAAAAUGGUUAUAAGUACAUAGUCAGUGAGAGAUGGUUGCAAGAUUCACAUUUGUGUCUACCUCAAUUGCAGUUUCAUGGGCUUGACUAUAAACAAGAUGAAGGGGAAGAAUUCCUGAUAGAUGUUCUGACACAGCAGCCAAAGCAGAUUUAACAGGCUUCCUGUUCAACACAUGAGAAAGCAAAUGCCAGAUCAGCAUUGUCCAUUUCCAUAAUAUCAAGCUAAGAAAAUCGCCAAACCCCAAUCAACAGACUUUUUUUGUGAUGAUCAGGUAAACUAAUGAAACAACAAGGUAAACCUAGAAUCACAUGAAGGGAAAUUGUCUCAAAACUCCAAAGAUCAACAAUCUCUGUAAAUCAAUCCGGAAUUACCUAAGAACACAAUACAAGGAAAGCAAAGGGUCCAUACAGGUGAUACCAACUUGUUGGGAAUUAAAGACUUAACGGUUGCUGUUACACCUACAUUAGGUCCGAUAUUUUCCAUGAGUCUUUAAAUCUAACUAGAGAUUUGUAUGUUUGUGUCAAGAUAGUGGAUACGUAACUAGUUAGGCGCAAUUGAUUUAUUGAGUAUCUAAGAUGAGCUAUGUAUGGUAUUAUGAGGGUCAUGAGUAAUGCUUCAGUCUUGACAUGUGAUAGGAGAGACAAUGCGUUGCACAAGAUUACUCAAGAAACAUAUAUCGAAAAAUUACUCAUGCAGAGAAACUUCCGAAACAAUUUAAAUUUGGAAUAUUAACCCCCCCCCCCCCCCCAAAUUAAAAAAAAACCCGAGACAAUGCGUUGCACAAGAUUACUCAAGAAACAUAUAUCGAAAAAUUACUCAUGCAGAGAAACUUCCGAAACAAUUUAAAUUUGGAAUAUUAACCCCCCCCCCCCUCCAAAUUAAAAAAAUACCCGUAUUAAGUGGAGAUAUCAUUGGAAUUAGAAGCUAUUAUUCCUUUGUGAAGGUCAAUCAUAGUUUUGAUCAGAUUUUAUUUCGCUCUGCCUAGGAGCCUAUAUAAGAGAGUUCAUCCCUAGUUGGUAUAUGAAAUCCAUUAUGAAGUAGGAUUGGUCUUAGAAUCAACAAUAAAACCAUAGUAAUGCUUAAUUUUCUUAAGCAAGAAGGCUUUGUCAUGAAUCCAUGCAAUUCUACAUUAUCAUGCAAUGCCCAAGGAGACAAGGAGUGCUCUAGAGCGAUUGUUUUUCGUUUCCUCUCUUUUCAUCAUAACUAUCACUUUCAUCAAAGCUUUAAACCAGUCCAAAUUUGCAUGCUUAAAUCUUAUUGACACCUGUUCUUUCCUUCGACAAAUUUCCUUUAUCAUUUUCAGUCCAAAAUCUGUGCUUACUUUCAAAUCUUGACUUACCAAAAAAAAAUUCUGUUCUUACUUUCAAUCGAGAAACUACAGAACAUUUCUACAUACCCACCCAAGAAGAACAAGAGAGAGAACUACUACUCCCUCCUUCCCAAUUUAUGUGAAGGCGUUUCACUGGGAAUGGAGUUUAAGAAAUAAAGAAAACUUUUGAAACUUAUGGUCUAAAACAACCCAAAGAAAUUUGUGUGGCUAGAUAUCAUCUUAUUAAGGGUAAAAAGGAAAUUUAAAAUUGAAUCGUUACUAAGUUCAUAAAGGUGUCAUCUUUUUGGGACUGACUAAAAAGGAAAGAGUGUCACGUAAAAUGGGAUGGAAGGAGGACUAAAUUUGCUUAUUCCCUUUACACAAAACUAGCAAAAUAUAAGCCUAAAGCAUCUAAUAGGACAAGCCUUUACAAAUAGCCUUAAGGUAAAUGUAUGAGAAAGACAAAUAUACAAUAAGUUGCAACAUAUGAUCUAAACUAAUCUUAAAUACGUAACAUAAUAACCUCAAAUCCCACAGGAGAGACCGCCCGUUACACUGCAAAUGACUUUCCCAGGAUGAUUCUUCUGACUGCACGACAAUGACCAUAUCGGAAAGCGCUUUGGCUUGAUAAUGCUUGUCAACUAACAAGGGAUCGCUGUGAAUAAACCAAAAGAUAGGCACUUCAAGAGUAGACCUGCUAUGUGCAUGUGAACCUGCAGUAUGAAGGAAUCAAAGCACUACAAUUUGCAAAAGUUAAGGAUCUAACUCGCUUAGAAGAUUUGGCCAACAAACCAACCAAAGAAAACUAAUUUUGAUGGUAUACAGCAAAAUCUUGAUGUGAUAAUACUGGGAGGUGAAAAUGUACAACCAAAGAUAGUACAAUACCUUAUGAUUUAGACCUAGCUAUUCUACCUGUCUUGCCUAUGCUCUCUUUUCACCUGUUGCAUAAGACAGCUCUAUUGGCUCAAUAGAUUUUCCCGGCAUCUGAUAGUAAAUCAUAACUAACUCGUAUUUUCAAAGCACAGCACCAAGAAACUCUCAGUUGAUCUUAGGCUUGGCUCUUCUAGGCUUUAGCAAAAACCAAAGAACAAAGAAAACAACUAGGAAUGCAGGUAUUGUUGUCAUGUCAAACUCGACCCUAACAUUCCUCUGUCGGGUGCAAUGUAUUGGAUGGAGGCUGUCUAGAGUUGUAUCAACAUAAUUUACAAACCUGCAUAAGAGACAAGAUAAAUGGCUACAACAAUGUACAAAGAAUAACCAAACGGUUAAGCCCCCAGACUCUUUAGUUUUCAUGGUACGAGUGCAGCAUGUGAUGUGUGGGUAAGGCGCACGUCAGAGGUUCGAAACCUACUGCAGACAAAAGUCUGGUAUUUAAGUGGAGAAGGGUAGAGGUGGGCCCAUUAUGCACCGAGAUUUGAACCAUGCGCCACAGGCCCUCCAGGAUUUCUUGGUUUUCAAAAAGAACAACCACAUGGUUAUUACAUGUUUUUAAGAAUCAAUACAAAGUAUAAAUCACUGAGACAAUCAUUAACCAUAUCAAAUGUACUUGUUAUCCUCCAGGCCCACCAUGAAUAUAAAUCUACAGGCAAAAAACAAAGACUUCCAUUUUCUAUUUUAUCAUUCUAGUAGUCUCUCCUUUCCCUCUCAUUUCCCUCUCAAAUGGGGUCGGAUUUAAGGAGAGUUAGCAGUGUCCUUCGCUACCUCAACAAAACACUAAUUGUAACCUGCAAUCACAAAAAGCUCA
rnacentral:lncRNA from 1 species